ACGGGUGGAGUCUCAGAAACUAGGCGAUAAGCGGGGUCUCCUCUCUCUCUGGCUGUACCACGGUUCUCCUUUGCUACUCUUUCUUCUUGGGACACUCACAAUGACAUUGCAGAAAUGAAGGACCCAAUCAUUUUUUAAGCGGGUAAGCUUAAUCUUUUACUUUUCUGCUUUCUUGUCCAAUUCGAUAUGCUGGUAUAUGGUAUAUGGCUUUUGUUUAAACUAUAUGGUGCUGAAACUCUUUAUUUCAAA